UCCAGUCAGCAUUCUGAUAUUUCUGUUUUAUUGUUCUUUGUCAAUGAUAAUAAUUAAUUGUGCAAAAUGAUCGAACGUGAGAAUCAAAAGACAACAACAUUGAUACAAGCAAUAUUUUAUUUGAUUCUAUUUUUUCCUGUUAAUUGAAUAUGAAAUUAUUUAUAUGGGAAAAAAUAUAAUAUUGAUUUUAGAUUCAUUGUUUAUAAAAAUAACAUAGCUCGAAAGUUAAAUUUAAAUGUCUAUAAAAAUCGAAAUGCUAAAUUUAAUAAUUUCAUAAUAGAAUAAUAAUAAUAAAUAUAACAUCAGGUUUCAAUUAAGAUAAAAUUUUUAUUAGAUGCUGGCUUACAUCUUUCAAGUUCUGAGCAUUCUGAAAUAUAUAAAAGUUUUCAAAUUACUUUUUUAAUUACUGAUAGAAUUUUAUCAGUAAAAAUAUAAAAUCAACAGCAAUUCUUUCCUUCGAAAACUUUAAAUCUUUCAAAUCUAUUGCCAUUGUCGAAUAAACGCGUAAUAAUUCGUUCAAAAUUGCGUACAAACGUAGCAAUAAUAUCUUUUAUUAUAUCCUCUAAGGAACAUGUGUUUACAUACUUUCAAAUGCUUGUACCUACAUCAUAGAGUAUAUAAACAAAAAGGAGGAUUGUUUUCUUCGUUGAAGUAUCAAGAGUCACGUGGAAACAUCUAGCUCGGGAUCAUUUCGCGGAUAUACGACUUUCACAACGUUCUCGGCCGGAAUGGGAGUGAGUUCGGUUUGUUGGGAAAGUUUCGCGACUUAAGCUCUAUGCUUCGUCUUUCUUCCCGUUCGAGAAACACGGCGUCUCCAGCGUAUCUAAGGAAAUCCUUAGCCCAGGUAUCACAAAGUUAUCACAAGACAAUGGAGAGCAGAUCAGCGGAGUGAACAUUUUUCACGCGUUUCCUGUCUUCACGUCAUGCCCCAUAUACGGUGAAGAGGUUCACGAGCGCGUAACGUAAUGAUCCAAGAAACGAGGCGGUGUGGAACCAUUAUACCUGUCAAAGAAGCUAUAAUCUUAUCCGACCCUUUCAAGGGUCCAUCUCUUUUCUCCGGCCGAGUUUAAUCAUUUCAUACGUAGCCUAUUCAAGCCUUUCUAUAGAGGCGAGCUGCUCUUUCAAGAGGGAGAUACACGGCUCUUCGAUUCCGCCUCCUAUUCGUCAGCUCGUUUCUUUCCAACAACAAAUGGGCACACGCGGAGGCACAACGAGCAGAGCAAGCGAGUUUUCAUGGUCGAAAUUCGCAAUGAAAUUUAAAUCGAGACACCAAUUUCGAAAUUAACAGCGCGAGCUGGGCGAGUUUGCGACGAGCGUUGCACGGAGGGGAAGGAAGGCAGGAAACUUAAAAAAACUUUUUAUCCAGGCUGGUAGAGGUAAACCGUAUUCCCGCGAAGAGAGUCUCGAAAUAGGUCUCCCUCUGUUCCACGAAAAAUUCGUCGCGCUUGAUUUUUACCAGUAAACUGGCAAACGCUCCCGUGGAAAUUUUUUUCUAACUAAGCCGCGCAACUCCAUUCGCAUUCUUUUCUUGGCAUCCUCUUGGCACAAUAAAAGGUGAAACUGCUCGUUCCCGUUUCCUUCUUAAAUUGAUUCGCGAGAUGAAAAUCAACCGUUUUUUUCCACGCGUCGUACGUAUUUUUUUUCUUUUUUUUAAUUAAACCGUAGGAAGAAAAUUUUUGAACUAUCCACAAAAAGAAGGAAAAAUCGUGAAAAGUGGAUUCUUUUUCUCUUCUUUCUUUUUUUAACUUCGCUACAACCGAAAGAUAAAUCUUGCCGGUUCCAUUUUCGAAAACGCAAUGUUUUUUGGUUUGGUCGAGAUUCGCCCGUAAACAUGUUGUGCCGUCUUUUUGAUUGUGACCGAGAUCUCGGUUGAAUUUUCACCGGUCCCCAAGCGCGGCUCUCCGAGUUGUGCACACGUACGACGACUGUUCACCACAGGAAAACCUGCACCGUGCUUUUAGUACGACCGGUAAUUACCUUUUGUAAUAGCCCUAUGUAUAUGCACGUGUAUUCAAUAAUGCGUAGCAUGCGGCACGAGUUGGAGCGAAACCGAGCUCCAUUCUCCCUCUCUGCCCCUCUCUUGUUCUUUCUCCCUCUAAAAUCGUAAAAGUUUUAAACGGAGCGAGUCUUUCCACGAAUUUUAUAUGUUUUAUUAAGGGUAAUGGGAAGUAAUUUCGUUUUUACUUAAUUAAGAUUAUGGCAAAUUGCGUUAUGUAUGGUAACUGAGAAACUUCUGUUCGUGUUUUUUUUAAGAUCAGAAAUGAAAUACGACCUAAUAAAGAGGAACACCAUUUUCCAAAGUCUGAAAUUACGCGUACGAAAUCCUCCCUUUUCUUAACGAGAGAAUUGCUUAUGAAUAUUUGAAUGUUUUGAACGAAAGAUGAAAUCGAAAAGGAGUUUCGAUCGAUGGUUGAAUUGUUCUGUAAAAAAAAACGAAAAAAAGAAAA